GCGUGGUGGAAGCCAUGUUCGCAGCUUUGGGUCUGCGGAAAGCACCGUGAGAUGGGUUUUCAAAACCCCUUCUCAAGGUGGUUUUGAACCCAAAAAUGAAGUGCAAGGACCACUGGUCAUUUCUGAAAAUGAAGCCCCAGCUUUUUGGGCACAUUCUCCUUAAAGAAAGAAAGAAAAAAAAAAAAAAAAAGCAAACCCAAAAACUGUACCAGCAAACCGUGAUCUAAAGCAUGCUUUGAAGCCAUGUCAGCCAAACUGUUCCUGACAGAUUUAAAAUAAUUCAAAUAUUCCUUUCAUUUAGGCAAAAUAUUUUUCUCCCAUUCAGGUGGGUGCCUGCUGUCACCUCGGCUGUAGCCCUGGUCCUAUACGCUCUGCUCUUACUGCUCCUUUACAUCAUGCUCAGCAGGAAAAUAGGUAACGUACUGCCUUGUUGCCUUUACCCCUUGUGUCCCUCUUUCCUCCUUGCAAUCCUUCAGCCCAGAGAGUGAAAGUGAUUUGCCCAAAGCCUUGACACCCCCUGUUUCUAAACCACGGCCAGGUUGGUGUCCUGGUUCUGGUUCUUGCUCUCACUCCCACCAGACCCCGUGCCCGGCUUUGGCACUGAUACGGGGCUGAAUCAAGUUAAGGCAGGGCUGAGCAACACGUGCCUGGCUUGUACAGCCCAGAACGCCACGCCAGUCCAAAAACAUUUUCUUUUAUUGCUCUGGUUAGUUAUGUGGUGGGAAAACAGCAUCAGAAUCAAUUUGCAAACUCCUAGUCCAGAUGGAGCUAUGAGUUCCAGCAGGAAAACCUUUCUCACAGAAAUGCUGCCCACAUUAUGCACAAUGUGCGCUCUGCCUGGCCCCGUGGGUCAAACCCAUUUUGACCUUGUGUGGGGAGAGUCCUUGAUGCAGCGAUUUAACUCCAGUCUUCCUUCGCAGGAGAGCAGGGGAAGCACUCCAUCAGCGCAGUAAUUGAAUUGACAGAUAUUUGCCCACGCCAAUACAAAAUAAUAAUUACUGCUGUGCCAGGGCUCGCGGCGCGCUGGCUUUGCUCCAGGGCAGCCCGGGCUUUGGGAGCAGGGGAGGGGACGGGGAGAGAACUGGAGAGAGAAAACACCCAAAAAGGGACCAGGGACAGGGGGGGAUGCAGCAGACAGGGGUCUGGAGCAUGGAGCUGAGCAUUCCCUCACCGCAGACAGCCGCUCCUGCAGCAAGGAGGUGAGCAGCCGUCCUGCAGCACAGCUCCAGCAGCCGUCGACCUCUUCAGCUGGAGGGGAAGGGGCACAACGACCGGCCUACGCAGGUGGUGACGUGCCCUGUUCGGAUGGGAGCAGCGAGACGUCCUCGGAGACCUCGGAGGAGUCGGAGAGCAGCCCCUCCAGCCCGCAGGUACCCAGCCCCCUGCCACCGCCAGGGCAUUUUUGCCCAAAACCACCACAACCGCGGCAGGGAGGGUGCCUCACACCAUGUCCAGGGGCUCCUGGCCCUGCUCGAGACCCCCUGAGCAGGAAAAUGAGGGUGAAUGCGUUGAAAUAACCGAUGGCACCAACGUGGUGGCUGUCACCUGCCUCGUGCAGUGCUCAGAGGGAAAUGUCCCCAUGGGCAGGGGGUGUUGGGGCACAGACAGGGCUAAGGCACCUCGGGGGGGUCGGUGCCUGACCCAGGGCUUGUGGCUGCUUCCUCAGGGCCCUCGGUCA
rnacentral:lncRNA from 1 species